AACCAGAUUCCUGACUCUCUGGAGAGUGCCCCCAAAUCAAUUAGAGUUGAUAUGUGGAUGCCAUUUUUCUUUGUCCCCUGCAGAUUCAUGACUUCAAUUGAGAGAUGAGUUUCAAGCCACCUUUCAAGGAAUCCUGGGUAGAAUGAAAUCUGUUCCAUGGAAUCUUAAGAAGAAGAAGAAAAAAAAUCAAGAUCCCUGUGGGCAAAGUCAUUUGCUGUCAUGCUUGGAAGGAGUAGAACCAAGUGUUUAUGAGCAUGGACUUUGGAGUCAGGAUACUCUCCUGAUAUACCACGAUGCAGAAUGUCAAGUAGGAAAAGAAGCUGUUGCAUUGGGCAAUUAAGAAGUCAUUGGUGAGAGAAGUUUCAGGCUGAAGUGGAAUCAUAGUAAAUUACAGAAAAAUAGUCUUUGGAGAGAGAAGGAAUCUGGUUAAUCCACAGGCCACACAAUCAUGGUUGAAAAUUAGGGAAUGAGCGAAUGAUGGAUCCAUCUCUUGAAGCAAUACUUGAAUCGCAGAAUUCUUAUAUUGAUAGAAGCAGAAGGAAACCAGAAGUGCUCCAAUUAAAGGCCUCCAUUUUUCAGAUCAGCAGACUAUGAGCCAUGCAUAGGAUCACACACAGGUCUUUUAAAAAUUAUGAGCCACUCAGCCUCGGCCUCCGGAGGUGCC
rnacentral:lncRNA from 1 species